UACGUAGGGAGCAAGCGUUGUCCGGAAUCAUUGGGCGUAAAGCGCGCGUAGGUGGCCUCAUAAGUCCGCUGUGAAAGUCAAAGGCUCAACCUUUGAAAGCCGGUGGAUACUGUGAGGCUAGAGUACGGAAGAGGCGAGUGGAAUUCCUGGUGUAGCGGUGGAAUGCGCAGAUAUCAAGAGGAACACCUGCGGCGAAGGCGGGUUGCUGGGCCGACACUGACGCUGAGGCGCGAAAGCCAGGGGAGCGAACGGG
rnacentral:rRNA from 1 species